UACGAAGGGGGCUAGCGUUGUUCGGAAUCACUGGGCGUAAAGCGCACGUAGGCGGCUUGUUAAGUCAGAGGUGAAAGCCUGGAGCUCAACUCCAGAACUGCCUUUGAUACUGGCAAGCUCGAGUAUGGCAGAGGUUGGUGGAACUCCGAGUGUAGAGGUGAAAUUCGUAGAUAUUCGGAAGAACACCAGUGGCGAAGGCGGCCAACUGGGCCAUUACUGACGCUGAGGUGCGAAAGCGUGGGGAGCAAACAGG
rnacentral:rRNA from 1 species